GCUGGCGUAGCUCAGUUGGUAGAGCAAUUGAUUUGUAAUCAAUAGGUCGGGGGUUCGAGUCCCUUUGCCAGCUCCA
rnacentral:tRNA from 1 species